AAAGUGGUUUCACUUAAUGAUAAGUCAAAUACUUCAUAAAAGACGACACUAUAUCAUUUAUUUUCAAUGUUUGUUUUAUCUUUAGGAUUUACUCUAAUUCAAACUCAUCUCACCCCAACCCCACCCCUUCACUACCCCCUGAAACCAACAACCCGCCCCUUAGUUUUGGAACAACUCUGUUCUCGUAGUUUACUAAGGCCGUUGGGGGACCUAAAUAAGCCGCUGUGCUCGUUCAGAGAGAAGAAAAAUAGGUGAGACCAACAUAAGUUUUGACCCCUAAGUUAUAGAAAAAGUGCGUAGUCUCUAGAUCCUUUUCCCCAAAGAAUAGCAUCAUCCACUAUAAGAGCGUAAAGGCUUUUGGCAGCGCAACAUGAUAAGUUGCCAGGAAAGAUGAACUCGUUCCAAAAUGACAAAGAAGUAGGCAUUAAGAAUAAGUAAUUAGGUACAGAGUUCCAAAAUGACAAAGAAGUAGACACUAAGAAGAAGUAAUUAGGUAGAGUUUCAUCCUCUUUGCCGAGGUUAUGAUCAGGUAGCGAAUGUCAGCAUAUGUAACAAAUGUCAGCGUACGUAGCAAAUGUCAGCAAAUGUAACAAAUGUCAGCAAGUUUUGAGGUCUACCUAGUGCGAUCUUUCUCAGAAAAAUACCUGUUCAAGCGGAGCACAAGACUUGGAAGAUCUUUAAAAGGUAAUAUAUUGUUAUAGAUUAGACGAGGGAAGACACAAAAGUAA